rnacentral:rRNA from 1 species
UACAGAGGGGGCAAGCGUUGUUCGGAAUUACUGGGCGUAAAGGGCGCGUAGGCGGCGCGGUAAGUCACUUGUGAAAUCUCUGAGCUUAACUCAGAACGGCCAAGUGAUACUGCAGUGCUAGAGUGUGGAAGGGGCAAUCGGAAUUCUUGGUGUAGCGGUGAAAUGCGUAGAUAUCAAGAGGAACACCUGAGGUGAAGACGGGUUGCUGGGCCAACACUGACGCUGAGGAGCGAAAGCGUGGGGAGCGAACAGG